GAUUACUUUGAGCCGUACUUAGCCCAAAAUAACUAUAACACAAAUAUAAAUUAACCUAAAGUAAAACAUUUAUACUUUUAAAAGUAUAGGAGAUAGAAAUUUUAAUUGGCGCUAUAGAGAGAGUACCGCAAGGGAAAAAUGAAAGAAAAGACUAAAGCACUAAACAGCAAAGAUUACCUCUUGUACCUUUUGCAUCAUGAUUUAACUAGACCUAACUUAGCAAAGAGAACUUAAGUUAAGACCCCCGAAACCAGACGAGCUACCUAUAAGCAGCCUUACAGAGCAAAUUCAUCUAUGUGGCAAAAUAGUGAAAAGACUUAUAAGUAGAGGUGAAAAGCCUACCGAGCCUGGUGAUAGCUGGUUAUCCAGUAAAAGAAUUUCAGUUCAGACUUAAGCCUACCUAUUAAAUCCCUAAUUAAAUUGUAGACUUAAGAUAUAGUCUAAAGAGGGACAGCUCUUUAGAUACAGGUUACAACCUUGACCAGAGAGUAAGUAAAUAAAUAAUUCAUAGUUGGCCUAAAAGCAGCCACCAAUAAAGAAAGCGUUCAAGCUCAAUAACCCAAUAAACUUAAUCCUAACAUUUACAUACGAACUCCUGGUAACAAUUACUGGAUUAUUUUAUAAUAAUAUAGAAGAAAUACUGUUAAUAUGAGUAACAAGAAAAAUUUCUCCCCCGCACCAGUUUAUAUCAGAACGGAUAGUCCACUGAUAGUUAACGCAUAUUAAAGAAAACCCAACAACAAGUCCUUUAUUAUAGAUCCGUUAACCCAACACAGGAGUGCCUUCAGGGAAAGAUUAAAAGGAGUAAAAGGAACUCGGCAAACACAAACCCCGCCUGUUUACCAAAAACAUCACCUCUAGCAUUACCAGUAUUAGAGGCACUGCCUGCCCAGUGACAUACGUUUAACGGCCGCGGUAUCCUGACCGUGCAAAGGUAGCAUAAUCACUUGUUCUCUAAAUAAGGACUUGUAUGAAUGGCCACACGAGGGUUUUACUGUCUCUUACUCCCAAUCAGUGAAAUUGACCUUCCCGUGAAGAGGCGGGAAUGCUAUAAUAAGACGAGAAGACCCUAUGGAGCUUUAAUUAACUAGUCCAAGAGAAUACUAACCUUAUAUCGACAGACAUAAAAUAACCUCAUAUGGACUAACAAUUUAGGUUGGGGUGACCUCGGGGUAUAAAAUAACCCCCGAGUAAUUUCAAGCCAAGACUUACCAGUCAAAGCUACAUUACUUACUGAUCCAAAACUAAUUUGAUCAACGGAACAAGUUACCCUAGGGAUAACAGCGCAAUCCUAUUUAAGAGUUCAUAUCGACAAUAGGGUUUACGACCUCGAUGUUGGAUCAGGAUAUCCCAAUGGUGCAGCAGCUAUUGAUGGUUCGUUUGUUCAACGAUUAAAAUCCUACGUGAUCUGAGUUCAGACCGGAGUAAUCCAGGUCGGUUUCUAUCUAUUCUAUGUCUCUCCCAGUACGAAAGGACAAGAGAGACAGGGCCUCCUUGAAACCCAAGCGCCUUCCAGCUAAACAAAUGAUCUAAACUUAAUUUAGUACGCAAUAAACUCUUCACCCCUAGACCAGGGCUUA
rnacentral:rRNA from 1 species